UGGGGCGUGGCCAAGUGGUAAGGCAACGGGUUUUGGUCCCGCUAUUCGGAGGUUCGAAUCCUUC
rnacentral:tRNA from 1 species